rnacentral:rRNA from 1 species
UCACUAAGGAAUAGCUCUGGGAAACUGGAAUUAAUACCUUAUACGCCCUCCGGGGGAAAGAUUUAUCGGUGAAAGAUCGGUCCGCGUUAGAUUAGAUAGUUGGUGGGGUAAUGGCCUACCAAGUCUACGAUCUAUAGCUGGUCUGAGAGGAUGAUCAGCCACACUGGGACUGAGACACGGCCCAGACUCCUACGGGAGGCAGCAGUGGGGAAUCUUGCACAAUGGGCGCAAGCCUGAUGCAGCCAUGCCGCGUGAAUGAUGAAGGCCUUAGGGUUGUAAAAUUCUUUCGCUAGGGACGAUAAUGACGGUACCUAGUAAAGAAGCCCCGGCUAACUUCGUGCCAGCAGCCGCGGUAAUACGAAGGGGGCUAGCGUUGUUCUGAAUUACUAGGCGUAAAGCGCGCGUAGGCGGAUUAACAAGUUGGACGUGAAAUCCCAGGGCUCAACUCUGGAACUGCAUUCAAAACUGUUAGUCUAGAGGCCAGGAGAGGUCAGUGGAAUACCGAGUGUAGAGGUGAAAUUCGUAGAUAUUCGGUGGAACACCAGUGGCG